UAGGGAGGUCUAUUUUUUUCCCCAUUUCUUUACUACUUCUCCACGACGGACAUCACUCUUUCUCACCAAAAAAUAGAUGAACACACACAUAAAAAAUGGGUUAGAGAGAUUGACUAACAGAGAGAGAAGGCAACGAGUGAGAGAUAAGGGUGAGAGAUUUCUUUCUUUUUCAGGUGAAUUCUCAUCGAAAAACGCCAUAGCCGUCGUUUUUCUCCGAAGGGUCGUUACUUCUAAGUUUUCCAGAGCUCAGGCGAGACAAAAAGGACGUCACCAGCUAAAACCAACUCAAAAAUCAUGUUGUUCACAUCUAGCUUAGAUUUGGACGUCGCUGCUUCGUGGUUCACCUGUCUUCGUUUUCUUUGUGGGUUUAAAUAUUUCUGAUUGUAAUUUCUGAGUUGAUUUUGCUCGUCAUUGAGGCUUUGUUGUUCGAGGCAUUUUGGUCGGAGCUCUAAUCAAAUAUUUUGAAGAAUCAGAAUAAAAAUUGAGUUUCGGGUUGCUGUUUCUCUAUCUGAGUUGGAUUCGUCACUAUUAAGGUCUAUUCAAAAUUUCAAGUUCGGGUUUUCUUAUUAUCAAUAGAAAUCAAUUAUCGAAAGGUCUAUUUCUUUAACCCGUACUCUCUUUUUUAUCUUAAUUUUUUGAAUUGGCUUGUUUGAGAUUGGAUGAUUCGAGGAUUUUUGAUGUCAUUUAUGUGAAAUUCGUAUGAUUACCAUGCUUUAAUUGUUGUUAUGUUGAUGUUGUUGAUAUUGGAUUCUGCAUCAAAAAAUUGAAUUGAUAAUCGAAGCAUGUGUUAAUCUUUGAUUGAGAAAGGAAGUUGAGGGGUGGAAUUAAAAAUUGACGAAAAGGUUAGAUUCGGAUAAAUUUUGAUUGAUUGUUGAUAUGAAACGUAUUAGAUUUAUGAUAUGUUGAAAUGGAUAGGCAAAUGUAGGUUCGGGUAUGCAAAUUUAGAAUUUGUGUUUGGUUGAAUGUUUGAAUGUGCUGUGUGAAUGUUUCUUCCUAGUUUAUCGUAUUUUAUUUAAUUGUAUUCAUUUGACUGGGGAAUGCCCCGAAGUUUCAUGUAUUUAAUCAUCGAGGAAUGCCCCGAAGCAUUUCGUACUUGGCGAAAGUUGAUCGUGAUGAAGGUCUGAGGCAUCGGGUAAAGCAUUGGAGCAUAGUUUAGGAUUAGUCUAGAAUAAGAUUUCUAUUUUUGUAUUUUUUUAUUUUUGGACGGUAUAAUUCAAACUGGACAUUAUUUUGGUUUUGAAUUUUGUUUGAUUUGUUUGUUUGCUUAUUUUGUGCGUUUAUGUGAUUUUAUAUAUUUUAUAAUGUCAAGUUAGAAGAUACAUUCCACAAAGCGUCCGUGGUCGAACCACAGGAUCGAGGGGCGCCUAACACCUUUCCCUCAGUCAACAGAAUUUUUUAACCAGAAUCUCUGGUUCCAAACCAGUUUUAAAGAGUCAAACCACUUUGAAAAGGACUUUCCAAAGGUGACUUGGCACGACUGAUUAUGCCAAGUGGCGACUCUGAGUUUAAAUGUAAAUAUUUCUUUUCGAAACAAAUUUUCAAUCUUUUGUCACUUUAAUAAUAAAAAUCCUUCGAACCUUAAAAUCAAUCUUUUUGGUAGAAAAAGGGGUGUGACAGCUUUGGCGACUCUGCUGGGGACUUUUCAGAAUUCGAGCUUAUUUUUGGAGUUGUAUCGGCUUAGUUUGACAUUAUGGGUGUGUAAACAUUGUUUGUGUUAUCGUUUGUUGUUUAUUUUAUCAUUGUUGAGUGCCUACAUGCUCUUUAUUUAUAGUUUUUCUCUUAUAUUUUGUCGCUUUAUAACUGGCAUCAUAUGCAUAACCCAGUCAAUUCUUUCUGCAACAAGUUCUGGAGUACACACUAUGUACCCGACCUAUAGUUGAGUCUACUCUAGGAGGGGUAGCCGUUGGCUGGUAUGGAGUAGGUGAAAAGCAAAGCAACCACUAUCGACCUUACGCUCCCCCGAACAGCCUAGUUAGUGAACUCCAAUGUAGGUCAGCCUUUGGUCAUACUUAUCUGCAUCAUAUUAAGAUCUAGCGGGACCCACUUGGUCCUUUAUAGGAGACUCACCUCUAAAGCAUUCCUACGUGCUAAAUGUUGCAUCUUUGAGGGUAACGGGGUCAUUUGACAGGUUGAUUUGGGCAAAAGCAUGUGUUGGAAGUAAAGUGUGUAGGCAAGAAAUUGUUGAAAAAAAAAAAGAAAAAAAAGGAGUGAAAAAAAGAGUUUCAUAGUUUUUUAGAGUUCAUUAUGACUUUUAUUUUUCACAAUCAAAAAAUUCAAAAAAGAUUUUCUUACCUUUUUGACACAUUUACUCACAAACAAAAAAAACUCAAAAAGAUUUUUCCUUUAUCUCCUUUAGCAUGCAUUCAUAAUUCCAAAAUUUCAAAAAAACAUUUUUAGAAGUUUUUUAUAAAAGGAAAAUUCAAAAAAGAUGUCAAAAGUUUUGUACAUGUCGUAUAACGAAAAUACCAAAAAAAAAAAUUCAUAGUUGUUGGUGUGAGUUUGAUGUGAAGUGUCACACUGAAAACUCAAAAAGAUUUUAUUAUUUUUCAUUUUCUGUUUGUGGUUGCAUCUCUCAAGUCAGGGUUCAGUCGGUUAUUUAAUCUUUAAUUGUCCUAUCCGGACGAACUACGCACCCCUGAUUCUGCUCUCUCGAGAGGGAGAUACGUAGGCAUCCUAUUGUGGGUUCGGGGAUCUUAUUUAAAAAAAAAAUUUCUCCACUCUUCAUUUAGAGUAGGUGUUUCCUAUGCAUCUUUAAAAGAAAAUCAUAAAUAGAUUUUUUGUUAAUGGAUUCAAGUUUCAUUUUCGUAUGAAAUUCAAAAUCUAAAAAGAUUUUCUUUAGUAAUCAUAGGUUUCAUCUUGUAUAGGAAUCUGAAAAAUUCAAAAAGAUUGUCUUCACUCAUCUUGUAGAGUAAGUGUUUCAUAUACAUCUUUAAAAGAAAACUUCAAAAAGAUUUUUCUUUAAUAGGUUCAAGUUUCAUUUUCAUAUGAAAUUCAAAAUCAAAAACCCAAAAAAGAUUUUUCUUUGGUAAUCAUAAAUUUUAUUUUUGUAUAGGAAGUUUAAACCUGAAAAAUGCAAAAAGAUUUUCUUCAAUUCCUUUGACAAUUUAUUAUUUUCUUUUCUUUUUAAAGUUUCAAGAAAAAGAAGAAGAAAAGAAAAAGAGUUUAAUUGGCCAAUUUGGCAAGACUUCAUGAACUACGCACACCUGAUUCUCCUCUUUCGGGAGUGAGAUACGUAGGAGCCAUUCUUGGGUUCGGUGAUCUUUUUUUUCUAAAAAAAAAAGAAAUAAGAGAGGUUUUAAAAAAAUGUUGAACUCUAACGCAUUUGUUACCACUUGUUCAGUUAGUUUAAGGUGGUUGGUUUGUGGCAUCCUGGCUGGUCCUUCAUAUCACACCAAAUCCAAGAAAGUGUUAGUUGUGUCUAACAAGGAUAUAGAGAGUGAUAUCAUAGAUCAGAUAAAGAGUCAAGAAAUUGAGAGUUUAAAGGAAGAGAAUUUGAGACUAAGGCAACAAAUGAUGGAAAUGUAUCGAGAUUGGGUCAGUGGGUUGCCUCCUCUUCCAUUCUUUAUUAUUGACCCCAAAAAUACCUUGAGCUUUUCAUCACAAUUGCAAAAUCCAUGUCCUAAUGCUAUUGAUGCACCACAACAUGGCUCAGAAUUUAUUCCAAUCCAAAAGAAUCUCAAUACUCCCGCCACUCUUUCUCUAGCACCUUAGCAUAAGCCAACUACAUUCACAACACUACAUGUAGUCUAUGAUUUUAUUGCUCAAUCCUCUGCUGAGACAUCCACAUUGGCUAGCUGCCCAACAGUUGUGCUUCCCCAUGCUGUUAGUGGACCUAUUCUCGAUACUCUUAGCAAUGAUUGUUAUACUCCUGAGCCAACAUUUAAGUUAAUUGGACCACCAAAAUUUCUUAACAAGAAGCCUAGUGUGCCAGAAGGGCCCGAGAAAAUGGUUGAAAAAAUGAAGAGUCCAGGAAAUGCUGUGAAAAGUUUCCUAAAACUUACGGGUAAAAAAGAUGUUUCAUACAAAGACUGGGGCAUGUCUCCAAGUGUUAACCCUCCCCCAAGCCUUGAGAUAUCAAAACUUGAGGAACAAGAUGGAUAAGAGGAAUCCGUGAAACAUUUGGGACAAUAUUGCAAUCAAUUAAAGGAAACUGGAGGAAAGAAGAAUGAGAAAGAUACGGUUGCUAUUGUAGUUGGAGAAUGGGCCCAUUUAAGAAGACCACGCCGUCGUUACUGUCAGUCUCAAGCCCAAGUUCAUACCCAAGCUCUCUAUAAUCCCUCCCAAAAUCCAUUAUACUCUAUUUCCCCACCUCCAUAUCUAGUAUACUGCUCACAACCAUAUGUUCAACUCCCUUCUUACUCACAAUGGCGUGCACCAACUCUCCAGACUCACUCUCCGACUCCACAAACCUACAAAAGCCCUUCUAGGCCCGAUUUUGGAUCCAAGACAAACAAUGAAAUGAGGCAUAAAUUGAGGGAUAGCUUCACACUAAUUGGAGAGUUGUAUGCCAGCUUAUUUUAAAAAUUGAUACAAUGAGGCAUGAUCACUCCUCUCCUUGGGCACAUCUUAAUCCUGUUCAAGAAAUUUUGAUCCUAAUACAUGAUGUGCGUAUCAUUCUGACGCUCGGAGUCAUAGCAUUGAAGAUUGCUGAGAUUUGAAAAGAGAAAUUGAAAAAAAUAAUUCAAAAUGGAUUAAUUAUGGUGUAGAACAUUGACAGUGAGAGAAGCUCUAGUCAUGCUGAUAUACAAAUCAGUGGCUAAGUUGUCAGGUUGAGCAAUUGAGAAGUCACCCCUCUCCCUACUAGGAAGAGGUUUGGUAGUUUAUUUUGUUUUCUUUUCUGUUAUCCGAAUUAUUUCAGGUUGUAGUUUGGGAUCUAUCUUGUUUUGUCUUUUUUUCGUUAUGUUCAAACCCUUCUAUCUUUCAUUUCAACUAAAUGGAGUGUCCCUUUCCCUUUAUGUUUUAAAUAGAUGUUGUUUGUUAAUUUGUUUUUCAAUAAAGUUCAUUUUAUGUUGAUUCUAGUGAUAUAACAAGCCUGCGGAAUUUUUAUUCAAAUCUUAAAAUCCAAUUUAACCAUGACACAUUGAAUCAGAGGGCUAAAGUUAGAAAAAAUAUCUGAGAAAAUAGGUAGAGUUUUGAGACAUUUGGUGAUAAGUUGAAGCCUUCUUUGAAAAUUAAGACAAUUUUUUAAGAAUCACAAGAAUAACUUGGUCAUCAAUUGAAAAUCAUAGCUCAACUAGGUCAAAUAGUGGAUGCGUGAUCCCUAUAUCAAAAGGAACAGAAAGAAAAUCAGCUCCACAAAAGCAUGAGUCAUUCGAUAUAAGGAAUGUACAACAAAGGUGGAGUUUGCUAAAGAAGUAGCGUCGCACAAGAUCAGUUAAAGUUUGUGCUGUAAAAAGUGUCACAAAUGAUCUUCAUCUUUCACUUUCAUAUUGCAUGAUAUGUACUUGCAUUUUUAAGGAAUGAUAUGACGAAGGCAUUUCAUUCUGCUAUCCAAACAUCGGGUCAUCCUUUGUUUACCUCAUUUGAGCUUUAGUCCUAUUUUCUUUUAUACCCCUCUUUUAGAAUCAAGAUAGAGUCAGCCAAGCACAAAAGAAAAGUGUCGAGCAAAGCAAUAAAGUUAGAAAAUUUUCAGAAAAAAGAGAAAAAAAGAAAGAAAGAAAAGAGUUAAUAAAAGAGAAAAAAUAAGAAAAGAAGUCAGAACCAAGAAAAAGAACAAGCUGCCAGAACAACACUUGACCUGAUUCUCCUCUUUUUGGGGUGAGAUACGUAGGCUGCCCUACCCGAGGCUCGGUCCAACCAAAUAAACAAUUUAGAGUCACCUAGUCCAAAAAAACUGGGGCAUGAGGCAAUCCUCAUUGUUUGAGUCGAUUUCAAAAAUUGUAAGUCCCACCCCACUUCAAGUGUCAUUUGGGCCCCAUGCCAUCCUUUCUUUCUAACCCUAUCUAAAAGCCAAGUUACAACCAAAGCAAAACCUUCAGAUCAAUCUUUGAGAAUGUUAAGGCUAAGCAUACAAUGGAUAUGAUGAUGUAUUUUGGGAGCUACUUGUCUUCCUCAGCAUAAGGAAUCAGGAGAGAAAUGAAAAUGAGAGAGUCCUAUCGAUGAAAACCCUCACGGGCACCGUAAGAUGAUGGUAAGCUAUGAGAGACUCUUAUUGGUGAAAACCCUCACGGACACUGCAAGAAGAUGGUGAGUUAAGAAAAAUAAAGAUAAGAGAGUCUCAUUGGCGAAAAACCCUCAUGGACAUCAUAAGGCAAUGGUGAGCUGGGUAAAAAAAUGAGAGAGGCUUGUUGGUAAAAAUCCUUCAAGGCGCUACUAGCCGAAUGAGUUCUUAAAUGCAAUUGAACUAAGGAAGCAACUCAAUUUCGAGGUCAUUAACUCAACAACAAUUGGUAGAAAGUUUUGGAUGGAAAGAUCAUGCAGUUUAAUUCGAUAUACACGUCAUAAUCAUUAGAGUUGACUGUCAUUUUUAGAUAAACUUUUCUUUCAUCUUUUUUAAGGGGGACAUUCAUUGUCGUUUUUUCUUCUCUUUAGUUAUAUUUUUAUUUUCUUGAGUUAGUUAUCCAAGUAAAACAAAAAUUGUUGUCAUUUUUCUCUUGUCUUUAAGUCAAGUCCAUGCCAAAACAAGUGAGAAGAGAUUUCAAAACUGGCUACCAACUUCUUCAAUUGCACAAAGUAAGACAGAAAGGCCAGCGCAUGAAAGAGACAUGAUUGUGAGACGAAAAAAAGGGCAUGCAGAAAGCUUCGUCAACAUGCAAAUCUGGAAACUCAUGUAAACACCAAGGUUUAAAGGGUUUGUCUGAGAAGCAUUUCAAAGAAGAGAUACUGUGUUUAUUUCAGAAUCACUCUUAAUAAUCUGAGUUUGGGUCAAUGACGCGACAAAAUAGGGGCAAGUGCCAGCAAUCCGAAACAAAAUGAAGAGAAUGGACACUAGAGCAGGAGUCGGGACAACCAAGCGCUUCAAGCCACCACUAUAUUUUGAACUGACAAAUUUUCUUGGUUGAAACAGGGGCAAAUACACUCCACUUAAUUCAAUUGCCAUUGGAAAAGCACAUCCGUGAAAAUUUACUUUAUGUUCAGGACCCUCCUGAAAAUGGAAAUUUACUUUAUGUUCAGGACCCUCCUGGAAAAUGGGAAUUUACUUUAUGUUCAGGACCCUACUGGAAAAUGCGAAUUUACUUUCUGUUCAGGACCCUCCUGAAAAAUAGAAAUUUAUUUUAUGUUCAGGACCCUCCUGGAAAAUGAGAAUUUACUUUCUGUUCAGGACCCUCCUGAAAAAUGGGAAUUUACUUUGUGUUCAAGACCCUCCUGAAAAAUGAGAAUUUACUUUAUGUUCAGGCCCCUCCUGUAAAAUGGAAUUUACUUUAUGUUCAGGAUCUUCCUGGAAAAUGGGAUUUUACUUUCUGUUCAGGACCCUCCUGACAAAUGGGAAUUUACUUUAUGUUCAGGACCCUCCUAGAAAAUGGGGAUUUACUUUAUAUUCAGGACCCUCCUGCAAAAUGGAAGUUUACUUUAUGUUCAGGACCCUUCUAAAAAAUGGGACAUUACUGCCAAAAAAAUGAAAUCUCUCUUUAUUAUAAUCUUUGUUUGGGAUAAUUUUCAUUUUAGUUUUGAUUUUGAUUUCGGGAGCUUGCCUGAAUAACAGGGUGAUAAAAUUGCAAGUCAGGAGCCCGCCUGAAGAAAAGGGUGAUGAAAUGGUAAGUUAGAAGCCUGUCUAAAGAAUAGGGUGACGAAAUUGAAAGUCAGGAGCCUGCCUAAAGAAUAGGGCGAUGAAAUUGCAAGUUAGAAGUCCGCCUGAAGAAUAGGGUGAAGAAAUUGAAGGUCAGGAGCUCUCCUAAAAAACAAGGGCGAAUAAAUGGAAAGUCAAAGCAACAAGGUGAAGAAUUUGAAAGUCAAGCAACAAGGAGAAGAAAUUGAAAGUCCACAGAUUGAAAAAAUAGCAAGUCAGGAGCCUGUCUGAAGAAUAGGGUGUUGAAACUCAAGUCAAGAGUCCAAAAGAAGCCGCAUAGAUAGGAAUUUUAUAAUUUCAUUUAUGUUUUAACUUGUAAUUUUUGUUUUUGAUGUAAUGACAGAGCCACGGAUCGGAACCUCAACAGAACCUCUCUCGACUCUCCAACUUGGUAUAGUCCCUCUUCUUUCAUUCCUUGGGGAUGGAUACCUGUGACUUAAUUCCCUCAUAACUAGGGAUGUGUAUGAUGUCUAAAGUCAAGACUUGGUUUUCCUCCUUGCUUCUUUUUCAUUCUUUUUGAAUAAUGGUCGAGAUAAAAUUUUGUCUCGUUGUCUACUUCUUGUCUGAAAAUACUUCAUGAUUACAUUCAAAGGGGGCAUGUUGUAGACACUAAUUUUGUCCCUCUCAAGUCCAAUUUUAUUUAUUUUUAGCUUACUUUACCACACACCCUCAUCUAUGUGAUUAUACCCCACAAAAAUACAAAAAAAUAACAACUCUUAACAUAAUCCCUAACAAAUUUUAUCUUGUUUUAAUCCUAUCCUAACCAACUUUACACUUCAUCCUAACAACCAACCCACGUGGUCCCCACUACUUAACCUACCAUGUUCAUUUUUUAAGUUUUUUUUCUACAAGACCAUAUUUCCAAUUUUCUAUUGUUCAUACACACAAAACAAUAGAAAAGGACCCACAUAAAAAAAUUCCCAUUUUUUAAUUCAUAAUUGAAUUUUUCCAUCAUCACUCAUCCAUAGACAACAAACAUAGGGGCCCCACAGAUUUUCUUCCAUUUACCACAAUACAUAUAUACAUAGCAAAUCAUAAAAAGGCGGGAUCGAAUUUUUUCUUGAAGAGAAGAUUACACACAGAUCUAGGGAGGUCCAUUUUUUUUCCUUCUUCUUUACUGCUUCUCCACUACGAAAAUCACUUUUUUCUCACUGAAAAAUAGAUGAACACACACACGAAAAAAUAGGUUAGACAAAUAGAGUAACAGAGAGAGAAGGCAGCGAGUGAGAGAUAAGGGUGAGAGAUUUCUUUCUUUUUCUAAUGAAUUCUCAUGGGAAAAAGCCAUAGCCGUUGUUUUUCUCCGAAGGGUCGUUACUUAUGAGUUCGCCGGAGCUCAAGCAAGACAAAAAUGAAGUCACCAGCUAAAACCAACUCAAAAACCGUGUCGUUGUUCGCAUCUAGCUUAGAUUUGGAUGUCGCCACUUCGUGGUUCACCUGUCUUUGUUUUCUUCGUGGGUUUAAAUCUAUCUGAUUGCAAUUUCUGUGUUGAUUUUGCUCAUUAUUGAGGCUUAGUUGUUCGAGGCAUUUCGGUCGGAGCUCUAAUCAAAUAUUUUGACAAAUCAAAAUAAAAAUUGAGUUUUGGAUUGUUGUUUCUCUAUCCGAGUUGGAUUCAUCGCUGUUGAGGUUCUAUUCGAGAUUCCAAAUCCAAUUUUUCUUAUUAUCAAGAAAAAUCAAUUAUUGAAAGGUUCAUUUCUUUAACUUGUCCUCUCUUUUUUAUCUUAAUUUGUUGAAUUGUCUUGUUUGAGAUUGGAUGAUUUAGGGAUUUUUGAUGUCAUUUAUGUGAAAUUUGUAUGAUUUCCAUGCUUUAAUUGUCAUUAUGUUGAUGUUGAUGAUAUUGGAUUCCAUGUCGAAAAAUUGAAUUGAUAAUCGAAGCAUGUGUUAAUCUUUGAUUGAGAAAGAAAGCUGGGGGGGAGGGGGUGAAAUUAAAAGUUGACGAAAUGGUUAGAUUUGGAUCAAUUUUGAUUGAUUGUUGGUAUGACACGUAAUAGAUUUAUGAUAUAUUGAAAUGGAUAGGCAAAUAUAGGUUCGGGUAGGCAAAUUUAGAACUUAUGUUUAGUUGAAUGUUUGAAUGUGUUGUGUGAAUGUUUCUUCCUAGUUUAUCACAUUUUAUUCAAGUGUAUUCAUUUGACCAGAGAAUGCCCCAAAGUUUCAUGUAUUUAAUCAUUGAGGAAUGCCCCGAAGUGUUUUGUAUGUGGCGGAAGAUGAUUGUGAUGAAGGCCCGAGGCAUCGGGUAAAGCAUUGGAGCAUAGUUUAGGAUUAGUCUAGAAUAGGAUUUCUAUUUUUCUAUUUUUCUAUUUUUGGACUGUAUAAUUCAGACUAUACAUUAUUUUUGUGUGUUUAUGUGGUUUUAUACAUUUUAUAAUGUCAAGUUAGCUGAUACGUUCCACUAAGCGACCGUGGUUGAAUCACGGGAUCGAGGGGUGGCUAACACCUUCCCCUCGGUCAACAAAAUUCCUUAACCGGAAUCUCUAUUCACAAACCAGUUUUAAAGAGUCAAACCAUUUUUAAA
rnacentral:lncRNA from 1 species